GAUUUCAAAUUUCUCUGGCUAUAUGUACUUGAGUCUUGAAAUUAAUUUAAAGAAAAAAAAGUUCAUACCCUGAACAAUAUGAUACAUAUUAAAGAAAGAUGCACAUUAACGAUACUUCAACCACUAAAACACUAUUAAAGACCUAAUUAAGUGGUUUUCAAACAAUUUUAUUUAACUGAUUAUAACUCGAGUUUGAAUUUUGAGAGAAGUAAGAAGUUUAAAAAUUAGUUUGUACUUUAUCCAAACCUUAUAAUAAUUAAAAGAAGACCUAAUCACUUGAGGAUUCUCAGCAGCAACACCAAAAAUGAUUCUCUUCAAGCCCCUUUUUCUUUUCAAAACAUGGAAGGAGUGUCGUCCCAAAAUAAUAAGGAUCUCAUUUAAAUUAAUUCACAUAUAAUCAUUUUUCCAAAAGCUUAGUCGUUCUAUGCUUUUCAAACUCAGCAGUAUGCCCCCUAAAUAGUCUUACAUUUAUCGUCAUGAGCGUUCACAGACGACUAGCUAGUAUUAAUUGCGCAUGCACGUUGCAACUUCUUAGUAUAAUUUUGAGAGAGACAGUGCAAAAAGACAGAAAUAUCUUAAGGCUAUAUUAUUCUUUCUGCUAAUUUUUAAUAAUAAACGUUAAUCACUUAAUAUUAGAUAUCAAUACCAAAGCCAUGCUAUUGCUUGCUAGAUUAUUAAACAAGUAAUUAUUAUUAAGCAUGCAUGGUACCACCAUCACACAUGGAGCUUGACCUUGCUGAUUUUCAAGGGGACAGGGGCGGUGGCCGCCGCCGCAACUGCCGAAUUUUAUGCUGGUUUUGAAUCGACUCCUUCAACCGUUUGUAAUCGACCCAGCCGAUCUUGUGCUCAGCUUUAAGAGUAACUAGUAAUGCAAGAAUUGCUAAGAUCAUUAGCCAUAUUGCGAACUUAUUGUACAACGCCAU
rnacentral:lncRNA from 1 species